rnacentral:rRNA from 1 species
GAUGAACGCUGGCGGCGUGCCUAAUACAUGCAAGUCGAGCGAACAGACGAGGAGCUUGCUCCUCUGACGUUAGCGGCGGACGGGUGAGUAACACGUGGAUAACCUACCUAUAAGACUGGGAUAACUUCGGGAAACCGGAGCUAAUACCGGAUAACAUGUUGAACCGCAUGGUUCAACAGUGAAAGACGGUCUUGCUGUCACUUAUAGAUGGAUCCGCGCCGCAUUAGCUAGUUGGUAAGGUAACGGCUUACCAAGGCAACGAUGCGUAGCCGACCUGAGAGGGGGAUCGGCCACACUGGAACUGAGACACGGUCCAGACUCCUACGGGAGGCAGCAGUAGGGAAUCUUCCGCAAUGGGCGAAAUCCUGACGGAGCAACGCCGCGUGAGUGAAGAAGGUCUUCGGAUCGUAAAACUCUGUUAUUAGGGAAGAACAAAUGUGUAAGUAACUAUGCACGUCUUGACGGUACCUAAUCAGAAAGCCACGGCUAACUACGUG